UAUAGUAGUGGACAAAAUGUGCCAUCCAUUGGAAAGUCCAAGAAAUCCUCAAUGCCUUCUGGAUAGGUCAAAAAUUUGAAUGCUGGAGACUUGUUUUUGCUCCCAUAACUGAUUCUGCUUCAAAUCAUGGCCUAAUCCCAACAAUUCUCUAUGGGUGAGCAAUUUUGACAGAG